UCUAUUGAGUACCCUGGGUAUGGAAUAAGCAAUUCCAUACCCGAGUCAGUCGGCGCACCCGAUCCGCGUCGCUCCGAUCGCCGGUUUAUCCAUUCGGUUCGCGACAUCCCCCACCACCUCCACCCCUGUCCCCACGCCCAACCUCCCAGCUCCCCUCAUCAAAAAAAAAACCCGCCCAGCUCCCCCCUGCCGCCGCGGAUGCGCGAGACGACGAGGCGCCCGGAGCCUCCCCGCCCCCUCCUCCCCCGCCGGCAGCGGUGGCCCCACCGCCGGUGCACCUGAUGGCGGCGGCGCGUCGGGAGGCAUCAUAUUCAUGGGAGGAAGGAGCAGCAGGAGCCGGAUCCACGCCCAACCGCCCAGCUCCCGUCCUCACCACCCUGCCGGUCGCAGCUUCCUCCAUCGCCGCCAGCCGCCGCCGCGGACGCGCGGGACGACGAGGCAACUGCAGCCUCCCCGCCCCCUCCUCCUCCCUCGCCGGCAGCGGCGGCCCCCACCGCCGGCGGUGGGCACGGCGGCGUGGGGACGGGGUCGACGCCACUCCCCUCCUCCGACGGUGCUCCCUCAUCCCGACCCCGUUCCGCUAGCCCAUUCCGAGAUCGAGACGAGCCGCGAGCAACAGCCAAGAGCAAGGUGUUCGAGGGCUGCGAGAGGCAAUACUGCGUGGCCGCAGCCUCCCUCUCCCGCAAGUGCACCGCUGCCUCUGCCCUCGAUGGAGGUUGAAUCUCCGCAGAGAAGGAAGCAAAAGCUGUUCGAGAUCCAGUCCGGCGUGGAGGAAGCUGAAUCGCUGGUAAAUAGAUGCAUCAACGCAUUUUGUUCCAUAUGCACAUAUAGAUUCGUCUACAAUUGAGAUCUAGUACACAUGCUGGAAGGAGGAUUUGAGCUAGCAGAUGUGUAGAGCAAGGAGAAGAAUGUUGUAAGGCCAUCAGGGAGGUUGCCAAGUGAAACGACAUGGGAUCUGCAAAGGUUGCUGGCUGGAGAGGGAUCGCAGGCCUGCCAAAUAGUUGCAGAUAGCUAGGCAUCACUUUCUGAAUUGUGUGCCACUAGGAUAGCAGUAGCAGUAGCAACGGGUAACUGUCAGCUCAUCAAUCGUGCCUGUAUUUUGUGCAGCAAGUUGGAUACUAGGGUCCUGUUUAGUUCCCACCCCAUAAACCCCGUAAACACAAAAAAAACCGUCACAUCGAAUGUUUCGACA